rnacentral:rRNA from 1 species
UACGUAGGGGGCAAGCGUUUGUCCGGAAUCAUUGGGCGUAAAGCGCGUGUAGGCGGCUCGGUAAGUCUGCUGUGAAAGUCCAGGGCUCAACCCUGGAAUGCCGGUGGAAACUGUCGGGCUAGAGUCCGGAAGAGGCGAGUGGAAUUCCUGGUGUAGCGGUGAAAUGCGCAGAUAUCAGGAGGAACACCAAUGGCGAAGGCAGCUCGCUGGGACGGUACUGACGCUGGAGACGCGAAAGCGUGGGGAGCAAACAGG